CUUGAACCCAGGAGUCCAAGGCUACAAUAAGCUGUGCUUGCACCACUGCACUCCAGCCUGGGCGAAUGUGAGACCAUCUCUAUAAAAUCCGAUAGAGGGACAGCGAGUCAGUGCCACACGAUUGGCCCUUGGUGCCUGGAGUGUUGGGCUCCUGCUGCCCCAAACCGACGUGACUCGGUGAACACAGGGGACAUGGCAGACAGCCACCAGGAGCCAGAGUGGAGGGGCCAGGCUGUGCACACGGACAUUUGCUCAAGCUCACAGCUGGCGUGCAGGAGGGCGCUUUGAACAUCUCCAGAGCUGGGAUGAGGAGCCGCCUCUGGCCUGCCAGACACUUCCUGCCUGGAGGACCACAGACCUGAGGCCGGCUCGGACGAGAGGACCGUGGCUUACCUGCCAUCAACAGGCUCGCAGGGGCCCCUCGCUGCACCCAGGGGGCUGGGGCCGGGCCGACCACCGAGAGAACUCACCAUGCAUCCCCUGCUAGCCUCCCUGCUCAGGGGCAGCUGGGACGUGGCAGCCGCCUCCCAGACUCUAGUCAGGGUCCCGGAUGUGGGGAAGGCCACCCAUCAGGAGGCCCGCCUGGAGUCUGCAGCCCGUCCUGGGUCCUGUGAUGCCCUCUCCCUGUGUUAGGAGGCCCGCCUGGAGUCUGCAGCCCGUCCUGGGUCCUGUGAUACCCUCUCCCUGUGUUAGGAGGCCCGCCUGGAGUCUGCAGCCCGUCCUGGGUCCUGUGAUGCCCUCUCCCUGUGUUAGGAGGCCCGCCUGGAGUCUGCAGCCCAUCCUGGGUCCUGUGAUACCCUCUCCCUGUGUUAAAUCCCUUCCUGCUCAGAGUCCUUGGGGCCACUCUGCCCUGCUCAGACCCAUCUGUCAUGAACCCUUGAGUCACAACAAAUCCAUCCCUCCCCAGCCUGUUUCCAACUUGAUUGAAACACCCCUAAACACUCCACAAAGUACCUGCGCAGCCCUGGGCUCCAAGAGGCUUGGCCGGGGUGAGCUUCAAGGAGAGCACGCAUGUGCACACACACAGACCCACCCACACAGACACGUGCACACGCAUGGAUCCACACACACACACACACGUACACACAAGCUCGUAUACACAAACACAAGCACUCACAAAAUCACACACGUGCACACACACUUGUGCACACAGUAACUCAUACACACGAGUACAUGCCUGCAUUCACCUGACAACACAAACACGCAUGCAUACAGCAAACACAUAUGCACACACCUGUGCAUGCCCAUGUGCACACAGCAAAUAUCUGUACACAACCAAAUCCAUAGGUGUGCACGAGAAAACACAUACACAGAUACACAUGCAUGUAGUGCACACAAACAUACACAAUGCGCACACACAAGCACACAUGCGGGCACACAUGGAGAGAUUUUGGUUCUUUGCUCGUAAAUCAUUUGUUCACUAAUUAAAUCACCCAUCAGGUCCUCCGACAAGGGUGACAUGGGAGCCUCCUGCACGCCAGGUGAGUUCUGAGUGCUGAAGCUCCCGCAGGAAACGGUGCGUCCCGGGAGCAACAGUCUUGAAGACUAUGGAUGGCUUCCUUCUCUUGCCCUGGCCAGAGGCGGGGCCCUGGGUUAGCACAAGGCUUUGUCAGAUGAAAUUCCAAAGUUUCCCCAUAAAAGGAGUCACUCCGAGCUAGCAUCGCCCACGACAUCCUUCCAGGCCUGGCUCCCCUGGGGCACGUGGAGUGGAGCGGGCAGGCGGGUCUGUGCAGCGGACGGGGCACCCUCCCCGUGUAGGGAAGGUGCUCUGCUCUUCCCACCCUGGGGCUCCGUUCCCCGAAUCCGGCCCCCACCACAUUCCAUGGCACCCAGCUAUGCCCCUGCCGCUGUCCUGUUCAUCCUUUCACACUUUUGGGGGUUUGGUGGUUUUAGCAUGGCCUGUCCCCUCCAGGGACCCACCGACCUGCAUGCCAGGGUUUACUUCAGCCUCAUCUGGGGAGGGAGCAGCCCUCGGGAGGCCCCUCGAGUACACAGGAAAUGAAGAAGAGAGAAAAUGAGGCUGAGCUGCUCCGAUUGGCCCAAGGGUCCUGAGUCGGAAGAUGACAAAGAAACCCCUCCUUAGAGUCUGGACUCUGCUUCCCGAGUCCAUGGCCAUGUGGCUCAGCAGCUGGCGUGGGGGCACCCAGGAGGAUGGGGACGCUCCCCUUCUGGGGACUGAGGGCCCGGAAGCCCACUGAGCACUCAGGGUGUCCUGCUCCGCUCUGGAGAGAGAGUGGCUGGAGCCUGCACCCUGGGUUAGAGGGUGAGACCGGGGAGCCAGGCAGGUGCCAGGCCAGCUCCUGCUAGGCCACCCUGCGGGCCAUACCUGUCUCUCACAUCACUCAGGCCUGGAGCCUCUCCCUGUGCUUCCUCUGCCAGCACAUGUGUGAGUGUGUACAUCACACACAGAUGACACGUGUGCACAGAGAGGUAUGCACACAGAGGGAUGUGCACACACACUCACACAACAUCAUAUGUUACAACGCCCUCUUAUGCCUGGAGACAUUUGGGAAGAUGCUUGACUUGUUUGGUUACCCCUUUCUAACUCGGCCAUCCCCCAACUGUUCACACCUUGUCGGCCCCUAACCCCAGAGCCUCCAAGUCACCUCCCAGGUGCCACUGUCAGCCCUGAUACCUCCUUCCUGGGCAGGGGCUGUGAGGUGAUGCCUCCUUCCAGGACAGGGGGCACCAUCCGGGCAGUAACAUGGGCCACAGUUGCCCCAUGACCCUCCCUACACUUUGUUGCUGUCCCAGCCACAGGCCCGGCCCUGACACACAGCAGCUUCUCUGGCCAGCUGUGCAAAAAAGGAACGCGUCCUCCCUGGGCCCACGGCUGGAUGGCCACAUAGCAGGCGUUCCUCUACAGCUCAGUGGUGUUACCCUGGGAUCUGAACAUGGCAAUGGCCUGGGGCCUGAUCGCGAAAAGGGAAAAGCAGUGUUACCAGGGACAUCCUCCUGGGGGUUUUAGAAUCUCCCCCUUGGAGGGGAGAAGAAGAGGGAGGGAGAACUGCCGGCCCAGCCCCAUGAGUGGAGGGUGCACCGAGCCACUGACCUCUGGUCCCUGCCCACCUGGGAGCUCCUCCCUCACAGGCAGUGCCAGUCUGUGGCAGGGGUCAGGCCACCUGUUCUAUCUGCCUUUAGUUCAUAGCCUGAUCAAAAGGUUAAUGAGUUCGAAGUUACAUUCCUUAUCUCAUUUUUAAGAUUGAAUGAGGACUCAAAACCUGCACCUGGACCAGUGACCCUGGGCAUUCUCUCUCAUCAUUGCACAACCGCAGAAGCUUGUAUCUCCCUGCCGGCCUUUUAUGAGGUGCAGCCACGGGUCCUUUGCUUUCUUAUUCACCACUGACGUCUGUACUAAUGAUGACACGCUUUCGAAUGCCAGUUCGCUGACUGAAGUACUAGCUACAGGUUUGUUUUUUUUGUUCACACCCAGAGAAUGUGUCCUGGCAAUAUGCUCCUGUUGGACGUCAUUAUGCAGUGAUGCUAUAUGGCAAAUGUGCUCCAGGAAUGACACACUCACAAGGCAGUGUUUGGUCUCCUGUAAAAAAAAACCCACAGAGACAAAUAACUAAGAAAAGAAAAGUGGAAGAAAGAUGUAAAGGAUUCAUGCCUUGAAUAUAUAAAGAGUUCUCAUAAUAAAUAAGCACUUCCCUACUAGGGGCCUAUCUUCUGAUUUUACCCAUGCAAAGGAAUCUGUGGCUCCUUCCUUUGUAAUAGCUCCCAGGAACCACCCCCUCCUGCCCUUAGUCCAGAUUAUUUGGGUGUGCUGACCUAAAUUCUUCACCUCCAGAGAUUAAACAUGACACAAACCUGGCCAAUGAAGGGCUUCCCUGGGACAGUGGCUGGAACUAUCAGAGAAAAGAUAUGCUUUCUCUGUAGACUGUGAGUUGGUAAGAUGUUAGCUACCUGUCUUAGUCUGCUUUGUGCAGCUACAAUGAAAUACCACAGUCUGGGUAAUCUAUAAUGAACAGAGAUGUAUUGGGGAAGCUGGGAAGUCCAAAAGCAUGGCACUGGCAUCUAGUUAGGGCCUUCUUGCUGUGGCAUCCCAAGGUGGAAGGCAGAAGGGCAAGAGAGAGUGAGAAAGUGAGAAAACACACACACACAGGGGGUGGGGGGAAAGAGAAAGCGCAAGAUGGGGCCAAACUUGUCCUUUUAUAAGGAACCCACUCUGAGAUAAUGGCAUGAAUCCACUUGUGAGGGUCGUGCCCCUAUGGCCCAAGCACCUCCCAUUGGGCUCCACCUCCCAACACAGCCAUGUUGGGGAUCAAGCUUCUGACACAUGGGCUUUGGGGGACACUUUCAAACCAUAGCACCAUCUCUGCUACAAACUGGAAUGAGCCUGCAUGAGAACAAAGCCAAGGCAGGGAAGUAGAACUGAGGGAUGCUGCUGAAAAAAAGGAAGAGAACAGAUGAACAUUGUGUGAGCCUGGGUCUAGCUCAGCCUGAAGCCUGUAGUAUCCUGGGCCCUUUAGUUAUGUUAACCACCGACUUUCCUUUUAGCUGGAACCAGUUUCAGUUGCAUUUCUGCCUCUUACAACCAAGGGAGACUUGACUGAGACCCACUCAUAGAAAAUGGGGCAGAAAAUAGGAACUGACACUCAAAAGAAACACAAAUGGCCAAUGAACAUGAAAAGAAGAACCGCUUUCCAUAAGGAAAUCCAAGAAUUGCACAUUAUAAUAAAUGCAUGCUAUUACGGAUUGAACUGUGUCCCCCUCCUGAAAGGUAUGUUAGUCCUCACCCCCUGCACCUAAGAACAUGUCCUUAUUUGGAAAUAGGAUCGUAGCAGAUGUAACUAGUUAGAGUGAGAUCAUACUGGAGUAGGCUGGGCCCUAAAUACAGAACGCCUUGUGUCCUUGUAAGAACAGAGGGAGGCCCCCGGAAAAGCCGGCCCAUCUGAAGAUGGUGGCAGAGACUGGAUGAGGGAUCUGUAAGCCAAGGGCUCACGGUGUCCCUGAGAACCUCCAGAAGCUGGAAGAGGCAUGAAAGGAAUCUCCCCAGGAGACUGAAGAGGGAACAUGGCCUUGCCCACACCUUGAUUUCAGACAUCUGGCUCCAGAACUGUGGGAAGGAUACAUUUCUGUUGUUUGGAGCUGCCUGGUUUUUCAUACUUUGUUAUGGCUGCCCUAGGAAACUAAUACAGAUAUUAUUUUCCAAUUCUGAACUUAGCAAAAUAUUUUUAAAAUGAAAAUUCUUACGUUGGCACAGUUUAAGGUCAGGGGUGCCCCAGCAGUUUGGCAACGUAGAUCAAAGGCUUUAAGAUACUUUAUCCCCUUUCACUUGGUAAUUCCAUUUUUAAGGCUUUAUCCUAGGGAAAAAUUUCACAUAGGAAUUAUGAGUUUUGGGAAAGAUGCUCACAAUAACACUGUUUAUAGUAAUGGGUAGAAACAACAAAUGUCUACAAAUAGAAAUGUUAAAUAAAUGGGAAUGUUAUAUGUUAA